rnacentral:rRNA from 1 species
UACAGAGGGUGCGAGCGUUGUUCGGAAUUAUUGGGCGUAAAGCGCGUGUAGGCGGGAUGGCAAGUCGGGUGUGAAAGCCCUCAGCUCAACUGAGGAAGUGCGCCCGAAACUACUGUUCUUGAGUAUCGGAGAGGGUGGCGGAAUUCCCGGUGUAGAGGUGAAAUUCGUAGAUAUCGGGAGGAACACCAGUGGCGAAGGCGGCCACCUGGCCGAAUACUGACGCUGAGACGCGAAAGCGUGGGGAGCAAACAGGAUUGAGAAACCCCAGGUAGGUC